rnacentral:lncRNA from 1 species
AUCCUUCUACCAACUCUUGAUAUCCACUGUGCUCUCGACCACUGCCGGGUUGAUGAAUCGAUGUCAACCUUUGGGCUCCAACAAGUCUUCAAAAUACCGAAGAUCAACAAAAUGCAGUUACGUGCCAUAAUCCCAAAUUUUUGCAUAAGUUGCCCCAAGGUGGGGUACUCAACUUAUCGGGAAAUGAUUUCUGUUUUAUGUCUCUAAUUUUUGCCUGGAUCACCCUUUCGGGUUUUCAACUUAGCGAGUUGUUCUUUUCUUUUUAGGCGAACUAUU